GACGAACGCUGGCGGCGUGCUUAACACAUGCAAGUCGAACGAGAAGGUUGAGAGCUUGCUCUUGAGAUUCGAGUGGCAAACGGGUGAGUAACGCGUAGACAACCUGCCUUUGAGAUGGGGACAACAGUUCGAAAGGACUGCUAAUACCGAAUGUUGUAUAUUUUCCACAUGGAAGAUAUAUUAAAGAUGGCCUCUAUAUAUAAGCUAUCGCUCAAAGAUGGGUCUGCGUCUGAUUAGCUAGUUGGUGGGGUAAUGGCCUACCAAGGCAACGAUCAGUAGCCGGUCUGAGAGGAUGAACGGCCACAUUGGGACUGAGACACGGCCCAGACUCCUACGGGAGGCAGCAGUGGGGAAUCUUCCACAAUGGACGAAAGUCUGAUGGAGCAACGCCGCGUGAGUGAAGAAGGGUUUCGGCUCGUAAAGCUCUGUUGUCGGGGACGAACGUGAGAUACUUGAAUAAAGUGUCUCAAUGACGGUACCUGACGAGGAAGCCACGGCUAACUACGUGCCAGCAGCCGCCGUAA
rnacentral:rRNA from 1 species